CUUGCGGGGAGAUUAAAUUGUUUCUUACUUUUAUUUAUGAAAUAUGGGCGUAUUAAGUAAAAAAUUGUAUUUUGUGUAAAAAAGUAAAAUAAUGAAAUUUUGUUGGUAGGUUAUAGUUUAGUUUGUACUGUGUAGGAUGGUUAGUCCAGUUAGAAGAAAGAAAAUUUUAAUUUUUGUACCUUUUGUAUCAGGGAUAAUCAAAAUAUUUAGUUUAUUAAUUUAAAUCUCGAAGUAAAAUGAGCGAGUAAGUUAUAGUUGUUUUUGUUGAAAAAUGAAAUUAUUAAUAGGUUGCUAGUGAUGAAAUGUCAGUCGAGUUUUAUAUAUCUAGUUUUUCUUGAAAAAAAUUUAAUUUGAUCUUUUACUAUAAGUAGUAAGGGGUGUACCCUAAGAGGGAAGAGCUUCUUAGGGGGCACGGGCAUAGUGAUUAAAAUCAUAUUUUUUACUUAGGCUUAAGAUCAGCCAUGGCUUUAAAUCGUUCUAGAUAAUAAGGUUUUAAAGAUUCAUUUAUAUUUUGCUUGCUUAGAAGUAAAGAAAACUUUAUUUUAAUUUUUAUUAUUAUAUUAUAAUGAUUGUAUUAGUAAAUUGUGUUUUGUGAGGUUUAGUUAUUUAGAGUUUAAAAUAUAUUUUGCGGCUAUAGGAAAACAAAGUUAAAGAACUCGGCAAAUUUUACUUCUGCCUGUUUAUCAAAAACAUGUCUGCGCGAGCAAAAAGAUGUGCAGUCUGGCCUGCCCCCUGAAAUUUUAAAGGGCCGCGGUAUUUGGACCGUGCUAAGGUAGCAUAAUAAAUAGUCUUUUAAUUGGAGUCUAGUAUGAAUGGUCGGACAUGAAGUAAGCUGUUUUAAUUAUGGUAUUUGAAUUUUACUUUUAAGUGAAAAGGCUUAAAUUAAAUGGUGGGACGAUAAGACCCUAUAAAGCUUUACAUUUUACUUUUUGAUUGAAGGAGUUAGGGUUUCUUAUUUUUAGUGAGUAAAGUGUUUCGUUGGGGCGACGAGAAUAUAAAUAGUAACUGUUUUUAUUUAAAAAAUAUGUUUUUAUAGGUGAGCUGAUCCUUUAUAGAGAUUAUAAGAUUUAAGUUACUUUAGGGAUAACAGCGUAAUUUAUCUUGAGAGUUCAUAUCGACAGAUAUAGUUGCGACCUCGAUGUUGAAUUAAAAUGCCCCCGAGGUGUAGAAGUCUCGGCGGUAGGUCUGUUCGACCUUUAAAAUUUUACAUGAUUUGAGUUCAGACCGGCGUGAGCCAGGUUAGUUUCUAUCUUUCAUUUGUAUUUGUGGUUAUUUUAGUACGAAAGGAGAGAAUAGCCGAAAAAUUUUUUUUAAGGGAUGAUCGGUA
rnacentral:rRNA from 1 species